rnacentral:misc_RNA from 1 species
GUGCACUUUAUUGUGGCUCAGAACUUUUUCAUUUUUACCCCCAAGACUUGUUUGUGUGGCAUUUUUGCCAUUGCACUCAGGUAUACGUAACACAAAAGUGUUACAUUACCCCCUCCCCUGAUAUUUUCUUUUUUUUUUAUUAUUAAACACAAGUGGAAUUAAGAAUGGAAUAUAUAUAUUUUUUAAAU